AGUAACACUCUCAUCCAGGCGUGGAUAUUGUUCUUCUUUUUGCGAGGGAAGCAAGCUGGACGAAUCGGAAACUGACGCGUGGCGCCAGCUCAUUUUCUGAAGCUUCCCGCCCGAAUACCGAGGAAUGUACGUAUUUCCAUGGGGCCAAGCUCAACAAGAAGAUGGAAACUGUUAACAGGUCCACCUUUAAGUGGUGGUGGUUGUUGCCCCUUGUCGCCCUCAACCUUCCAUAUCUUCUUCUUCAUGUUUGACUUCUCUUGGUUUGCUGAUAAAUUAACCUCCUUUAAUUCCUUUAUC